rnacentral:rRNA from 1 species
UGAUUGAUGGUGCUUGCACCUGAUUGAUUUUGGUCGCCAACGAGUGGCGGACGGGUGAGUAACACGUAGGUAACCUGCCCAGAAGCGGGGGACAACAUUUGGAAACAGAUGCUAAUACCGCAUAACAACGUUGUUCGCAUGAACAACGCUUAAAAGAUGGCUUCUCGCUAUCACUUCUGGAUGGACCUGCGGUGCAUUAGCUUGUUGGUGGGGUAAUGGCCUACCAAGGCGAUGAUGCAUAGCCGAGUUGAGAGACUGAUCGGCCACAAUGGGACUGAGACACGGCCCAUACUCCUACGGGAGGCAGCAGUAGGGAAUCUUCCACAAUGGGCGCAAGCCUGAUGGAGCAACACCGCGUGAGUGAAGAAGGGUUUCGGCUCGUAAAGCUCUGUUGUUAAAGAAGAACACGUAUGAGAGUAACUGUUCAUACGUUGACGGUAUUUAACCAGAAAGUCACGGCUAACUACGUGCCAGCAGCCGCGGUAAUACGUAGGUGGCAAGCGUUAUCCGGAUUUAUUGGGCGUAAAGAGAGUGCAGGCGGUUUUCUAAGUCUGAUGUGAAAGCCUUCGGCUUAACCGGAGAAGUGCAUCGGAAACUGGAUAACUUGAGUGCAGAAGAGGGUAGUGGAACUCCAUGUGUAGCGGUGGAAUGCGUAGAUAUAUGGAAGAACACCAGUGGCGAAGGCGGCUACCUGGUCUGCAACUGACGCUGAGACUCGAAAGCAUGGGUAGCGAACAGGAUUAGAUACCCUGGUAGUCCAUGCCGUAAACGAUGAGUGCUAGGUGUUGGAGGGUUUCCGCCCUUCAGUGCCGGAGCUAACGCAUUAAGCACUCCGCCUGGGGAGUACGACCGCAAGGUUGAAACUCAA